GAAAGGAGAGUACCUAUAAAGGAUGGUGCAUACUUGGCCAAGGAGUAUGGACUCUCAUUUUAUGAAUGCAGUGCUGCCUCCGGUCACAAUGUGAUUGAAUCUAUGGUCGAAUUAGUCAGGUUGCUGAAAGUGCAUGAAGACCAGUUAAAACAGGAGGUUCUGCAGUUACCA